rnacentral:misc_RNA from 1 species
UCAAACUUGGUCAUUUAGAGGAAGUAAAAGUCGUAACAAGGUUUCCGUAGGUGAACCUGCGGAAGGAUCAUUACAGAGUUAGGGUCUUCAAGGCCCGACCUCCCAACCCUUUGUCUACCAACCACUUGUUGCUUCGGCGGGCCCGUCUGGAAACAGACCGCCGGGGGACCGUGAUACGUCUCCUGGCCCGUGUCCGCCGAUGAGCCAAACUUAAAACACUGAAUAAUCGUGAUAUUAUCUAAGUACAUAUAAAAUAAAGCAAAACUUUCAACAACGGAUCUCUUGGUUCUGGCAUCGAUGAAGAACGCAGC